rnacentral:rRNA from 1 species
GAGUUUGAUCAUGGCUCAGGACGAACGCUGGCGGCGUGCUUAACACAUGCAAGUCGAACGGUGAAGCGCCUUCCUUUUUGGUGGGUGUGGAUGAGUGGCGAACGGGUGAGUAACACGUGAGUAACCUGCCCCCUUCUUCUGGAUAACCGCAUGAAAGUGUGGCUAAUACGGGAUAUUCUGUGCCUGCUGCAUGGUGGGUGUGGGAAAGAUUGCGCUUUUUUGGUGUUUUUGGUGGGGGAUGGGCUCGCGGCCUAUCAGCUUGUUGGUGGGGUGAUGGCCUACCAAGGCGGUGACGGGUAGCCGGCCUGAGAGGGUGGACGGUCACACUGGGACUGAGACACGGCCCAGACUCCUACGGGAGGCAGCAGUGGGGAAUAUUGCACAAUGGGCGCAAGCCUGAUGCAGCGACGCCGCGUGAGGGAUGGAGGCCUUCGGGUUGUGAACCUCUUUCGCCAGUGAAGCAGGCCUGCUCCUUUUUUGUGGGUGGGUUGACGGUAGCUGGAUAAGAAGCGCCGGCUAACUACGUGCCAGCAGCCGCGGUAAUACGUAGGGCGCGAGCGUUGUCCGGAAUUAUUGGGCGUAAAGAGCUCGUAGGCGGCUGGUCGCGUCUGUCGUGAAAUCCUCUGGCUUAACUGGGGGCUUGCGGUGGGUACGGGCCGGCUUGAGUGCGGUAGGGGAGACUGGAACUCCUGGUGUAGCGGUGGAAUGCGCAGAUAUCAGGAAGAACACCGGUGGCGAAGGCGGGUCUCUGGGCCGUUACUGACGCUGAGGAGCGAAAGCGUGGGGAGCGAACAGGAUUAGAUACCCUGGUAGUCCACGCCGUAAACGUUGGGCACUAGGUGUGGGGGGCCUUUUCCGGGUUUUCCGCGCCGUAGCUAACGCAUUAAGUGCCCCGCCUGGGGAGUACGGCCGCAAGGCUAAAACUCAAAGGAAUUGACGGGGGCCCGCACAAGCGGCGGAGCAUGCGGAUUAAUUCGAUGCAACGCGAAGAACCUUACCAAGGCUUGACAUGUGCCGGUCGGCUCCGGAGACGGGGUUUCCUCCUUGUGGGGCCGGUUCACAGGUGGUGCAUGGUUGUCGUCAGCUCGUGUCGUGAGAUGUUGGGUUAAGUCCCGCAACGAGCGCAACCCUUGUCUCGUGUUGCCAGCACGUUGUGGUGGGGACUCGCGGGAGACUGCCGGGGUCAACUCGGAGGAAGGUGGGGAUGACGUCAAAUCAUCAUGCCCCUUAUGUCUUGGGCUUCACGCAUGCUACAAUGGCCAGUACAGAGGGCUGCGAUACCGUGAGGUGGAGCGAAUCCCUUAAAGCCGGUCUCAGUUCGGAUCGGUGUCUGCAACUCGACACCGUGAAGUUGGAGUCGCUAGUAAUCGCAGAUCAGCAACGCUGCGGUGAAUACGUUCUCGGGCCUUGUACACACCGCCCGUC